rnacentral:rRNA from 1 species
CCUACGGGGCGCAGCAGUGGGGAAUAUUGGACAAUGGGGGGAACCCUGAUCCAGCGACGCCGCGUGAGUGAAGAAGUAUUUCGGUAUGUAAAGCUCUGUCAGCAGGGAAGAGAAUCACGGUACCUGACCAAGAAGCCCCGGCUAAAUACGUGCCAGCAGCCGCGGUAAUACGUAUGGGGCAAGCGUUAUCCGGAUUUACUGGGUGUAAAGGGAGCGUAGGCGGCAGGGCAAGCCUGAUGUGAAAGCCCGGGGCUCAACCCCGGGACUGCAUUGGGAACUGCCCCGCUCGAGUGCCGGAGGGGCAG